rnacentral:rRNA from 1 species
AAGGGCACCACAAGAACGCGUGGAGCAUGUGGCUUAAUUUGACUCAACGCGGGAAAUGUUACCGGGUCCGGACACACUGAGGAUUGACAGACAAUCGUACAUUCAUACAUUCUUGUUGUGUUGUACCAAAUAAAGAUGCUAGUUCUUUCAUGAUUAUGUGAUAGGUGGUGCAUGGCCGUUCUUAGUUCGUGGAGUGAUCUGUCUGCUUAAUUGCGCUUCACAAUAAAUACGUAAUAUGUAUUUUACUCGUAUAUAACUUGACCCCACUCUUUCGAGAGUGCGCGUGUCUCGUGAAUACAGUAAUUAUUAUACAUGCGUUAUUAGAAAGCAACGAACGUGACCGUAUCCUUUUGUUAAAAUGUGAUAUAUACAUCUCAAAUAUACAUACUUACGUGUGUAUAAUUAAACUAAAGGGACCGCUGUUUCUUUCUUAAACCAGAGGAAGGUUACGGCAAUAACAGGUCUGUGAUGCCCUUAGAUGUUCCGGGCUGCACACGUGCUACAAUGAUUAUUGCAGUAAGUAUCUGUUAAUAAGAGUACACGUAUCACACAUGCGCUUCGGCGUAUGUAGUGCACGUCUCAAAAUCCUACCUCGAAAGUUCGGUGGGUAAUCAAUUAGAAGUAAUGAUUUCCUUUAAUAAUUUUGUACAAAAAUAUACAGCGUAUUCGUAUCCCAUUUUACCUUCGAGUAUUAUGCGUGUGUACGAUACGUAUAUACCCUUUUAAUUGGGUCAUAUUAUCUGUAUGUACAGCUGUCAAUUCAUGGUGGGGACAGACCAUUGUUAAUUGUUGGUCUCGGUCUUAACUAGGAAUGCCUUGUACGGGUCUUUGGUUCAUCAAACCACCCGGAAUACGUCCCUGCCCUUUGUACACACCGCCCGUCGCUCUUACCGAUGAACUUUACUAUGAAUUUGAGGGAUUUUCCUUGGAAAAAAACUUAAAUAAAUAGUGUGGUUUAAAGGAAAGAGAAGUCGUAACAAGGCAUCAGUAGGUGAACCUGCAGAAGGAUCA